rnacentral:tRNA from 1 species
GCCGGAGUGGCGGAAUUGGCAGACGCCCGGGACUUAAAAUCCCGUGGGUGGAAACACCCGUAUCGGUUCGAGUCCGAUCUCCGGCA